rnacentral:rRNA from 1 species
AUUGAACGCUGGCGGCAUGCCUUACACAUGCAAGUCGAACGGUAACGGGCCUUCGGGUGCCGACGAGUGGCGAACGGGUGAGUAAUGUAUCGGAACGUACCUUUCAGUGGGGAUAACGUAGCGAAAGUUACGCUAAUACCGCAUAUUCUGUGAGCAGGAAAGCAGGGGAUCGCAAGACCUUGCGCUGAUUGAGCGGCCGAUAUCAGAUUAGCUAGUUGGUGAGGUAAAGGCUCACCAAGGCGACGAUCUGUAGCGGGUCUGAGAGGAUGAUACGCCACACUGGAACUGAGACACGGUCCAGACUCCUACGGGAGGCAGCAGUGGGGAAUUUUGGACAAUGGGGGCAACCCUGAUCCAGCCAUGCCGCGUGAGUGAAGAAGGCCU